rnacentral:rRNA from 1 species
UACGGAGGAUGCGAGCGUUAUCCGGAUUUAUUGGGUUUAAAGGGUGCGUAGGCGGUCCGUUAAGUCAGCGGUAAAAUUGCGGGGCUCAACCCCGUCGAGCCGUUGAAACUGUCAGACUUGAGUUGGCGAGAAGUACGCGGAAUGCGCGGUGUAGCGGUGAAACGCAUAGAUAUCGCGCAGAACUCCGAUUGCGAAGGCAGCGUACCGGCGCCACACUGACGCUGAGGCACGAAAGCGUGGGGAUCGAACAGG